AAUGGGUUCAGAAACAAUGUGUGAGGGGGUAGAUUUACAUUACCACCCACUUCAGCCUUUGUCUUCAAAGUGCUUUCUGCAGAGUAUUAAGUGGUGUUUGGCUUUUUUUCUUUUUCAUUUUUCUCUUUUUGGAGGGGAGGAGAAGUCAAUGAGAUUUUUGAAUAGGCUCAGAACAGAGAGGUCACUUUUGAACACAUGACAUGUAAGGCAAGAUAAAUUUACAUUUUUCAACCUCAUGAAAAACAAGGACAGCUUUGUCUGGGAUUCACUAAGAAGUCAUUGAAGGUAAGCGCCGGCUGCCCACUGGUCACGAUGGAGUAAAACCCAAAGAAAUGUGAGGUAAAGAGAGUUUAUAUGUAACCAUAGGUUGAACAUCCCCAACUCCCCACAAAAGCCUUUCAUUUCCAUUUGGAGUGAGUACACGAUAACCUAGACCGGCCAGCCCCUCAGUCACCAAGCAAAGCUCUUGACAUUUGCCUAAUUAUCUUUUCUCAUCAUCAGUCAUUUCUUGAAGUCUCAGCUUCAUUCAGAUGCCAGGUAUUUCCGAAAUUAAUCAUGACAUUGAAAGCGGCAUCUUUUCAUGUAAACGGACUUUAUUAUCUGGAUCAGAAAGCCCCCUCUUCGAGUAGCGAAAGCCCAUUUGUAGGGAAAGUGUCUGAAAUCUGACAUGCUGCUUUCCCAAGAAAGAUUCUUCGUGUUGACCUCCCAGCAAGGACCAAGCAUUCAUCACUGUGAGCUUAUGUGUAAGUGUGUGUGUGUGUGUGUGUGUGUGUGUGUGUGUGCGCGCGCGCGCGCGCCCACGCGCAUGGGUGUACAUGUGCCUGCGUGCAGCUAAAAGCCUUGGGCUGGCUGCAUGCUAAUUUGCCCCAUUGUUUCAGGGUGACUGCUUUUCUAGUAUUUAGGAAUUAGUAUUUAGCCUUUUUGCAUAAGCCCCUACCUACAAUUAUUUUAUGUUUACCUCAAGGGCCACCAUCUUAUGUGUAUUGCAACUAUAUUAGGGGAUGCCAGAGCUUCUUUGUCUCCUUGGAAGGCCUCAGAUUAUAGACAGGGUUUAGCUUGAUACCAGGACACCUCUCUUUCAUUUAUAGGCAUUUUACAAACGUUUGAAGGUCCUGAACUAUACCAACACAUGGCUUUGCCCAGCCUCUCGGAAUUUACAAAGGGGAGGAAGAAAAUGCUUCGAAGAGCUUGGAAAGCAUCGAACAGAGCAAGUAAUUUAUUGGAUACUGUACUGAAAGUGAAAACCAGAAUGGUUGUAUGGUACAAAAUGGUGCUGAGUGUUAAUGAUGGGAUAUUUGUCCUCUGAGAGGAGUACAGAAGAGUAAUAUUAACUACCUGCAACCCUCCCUCCUAUGUGGAAAUAAAAUUAAUGUUGUGACAUAAGCUGACAAAAACCAGGAAAUUAAAAGUUAAGGCUGAGACUCCUUCGUGAGAUUUUACCUUUUUUGGUUAUUGUAAAAUGAAUAUAGUGAGGAUAAUUUGCUUGGAGGAAAGACCUAAUCAUGGAGUUCAUCAAGAAAGAGUAAAAAAAAAUUUUUUUAAAUCUAUUUUUGCUCUCUUCAAGCCAACUGAGAGCUGGUUUUAAACAGUACCCGACUUUCUCUUACCCCUCCAUUUUCUUAAACCUGAAGAAUUUCUUAAACCAAAGGAAAAGAAAAACCUCCCCUUCAUAGUCUACAAAAAGGCUAAGUAAGUAAUACAUUCCCCAUUCUUUAAAACAAAUGGACCCAGACAAAAAAGUCCAGUAUGUCCUAAAUCAGAAUCAGUGGAAAGCACAGAUUGUCUGGAAUUUGGAAAUACAGUUUUGGAGUGUUCCAUUCACAUCCAAAGUCCUAUAGGAAAAACAAACAUAAAAAUCAGCUUUUGAGAGGCCAUAUUUAAGGAAGACCUCAACCCCUCCAUUCUUUGGCUGUGUUUGAAGAUCAGCCAAAAGGGAGAAAAGGGAGUGUAAAUUCAAGGAAUGACGCUCUAGGCUGUAGGCCAGAAACUCUGAACAUUCAUCUUUCCCCCUUUACUGAGAAGAAUGUUUCUGGGGAAGAAGAUCCGUGAUGGGUUUGUUUCUAAGGGCUUUUCUGAACUCAAAAAAAAUAAUUGUAAACUUUACCUUCCUCCCUGCAUCUGCCUUCAGUCAUGCUAAUCUUGGGCUCCUUCAUCUCUUGGGUUCGCUGUUACAAACACAAAUGGCUUAUUCUGGUGCCUAGGAAUGCCCUGUAUUACCAUCCUUUCUAUUUGGAUAUAUGGUUCGAUGCUAUCUUAUUUUGCAACAAUAUCAUCACCUCCUGGGCUGCUCAUCAUUUCCGUAGCUAUUUGCACAUAACAUUUCAGGAAGUUGCUAAAUGUCAUCCAGAACUGUUAACCAUAAUAACCAGACUUAAAGCUCCUUGAAGGCAGGCUCCUCAGAUACAAUAGCAAUUCUUACAAAAUCAAAAGGCAGACCACAUAGUCUGACAAAAGAUACCUUUCUAAUAUAUGAAUUUAUUUAUAUGAAUAAAAUCAGUGAAGAAUAUUUGAAAUGGACACUAUUUAACAAGCUUGAAGAUAUACAUUCCCUGUUUAUUCACAUUAUCUGUAAUAUUGAACCCAAUAAAUUAUACUAGCAAAGUUUCUUAAAAUCUGUCAGAGUGAACAGCAGUCAUCAAUGGAAAAUUAUGUGAGGGGUGCCUGGGUGGCUCAGUUGGUUAAGCCUUGACUUGGGCUCAGGUCAUGAUUUUGCAUAGGGCUUUCUGCUGUCAGCAUGGACCUCGCUUUAGAUCCUCUACCCCCACUCUCCCUGACCCUCCCCCUCUUGCACUCUCUCCCUCUCAAAAUUAAAUAAACAUUAAAAAAAAAAGGAAAUCCUGUGAGAUGGCCACAAAAGACCAUCACUAUCCACUAGUUAAUGGCUUUUUAUCUAUUUAUUUCUUAGGACAAUAGCAACUAAAAUUUUUACCCUUGCUCCCCUGCCCAUAUAGAUGUAAAUAUAUAGCCAGGGAUCAGGCAAGCCUCAAUCCCUAGCAAAUGGUGAAUUACAUGCUUUCUAAAAAUUUGCUUAUAUUUAUUAGAGUCAAACAAAGGCUGAUGGGCUACAUAGGCUGUGUUCGUGUAUAACUGGCAUACCUAGGAAGUUUAGGAGUUAGCAGUGUCCUGUAUAAAACAGAUAUAGGAGGGGCUAUGACGGCAGGGACAACUAAUCUAAACUAAUCAUUAAGGGAGCGUUGUCUGCUGGGAAAUCAAGAAAGCAGGGAGCAAAACAGAGGUUUGCUCUGAAAUCAGUUACAUUAGUCAUUAGGGAUUUCCAAAAUUGUUUUGAUUUGAAGUCCUGGUCCUGGACUGAGUUUUUUUUAGGAGAAGAGAGUCUGCAAACACCAAAGCCGUCUCUCUCUAGGCUGCUGCUUUGAAAAAAAUAGACAUUUUUUCUUACAAAGUAGAAUACAGGCAUUAUAAAUUGAGACUGCAUAUCCCACUCAUGGCAGCUGGGGCUGGAAGGCCUUUCUGUGCCAUAGCCCUUGUCUUUGAAGAGAGUAUACAGGAUGGAAUUGCAAAACCUCUCAGCUAAGUGUCGUCAAGGAACUUAAUAGUUCAGAGCUAAAAACCUAUCUUAUCACAUUUGACUCCUAUUUCUUACCUGUGAACUUCUCCAAUUAUUUUAUUACAUUAAAAAAAUGACUUAUUACUCUUUACAAAGGCAACAAUAUUCCUACAGUACUUGUCAAGCUGCGGCAAUCACACUAGAAAGAGCUUCUAACACAGCUUCAGGACUGAAGUGAAUGGCAUCUGUCUUCCCACUCAAUCAACCUAAAAUUGGUGAAUCUGGAGUUCCACUAUCCAUCUUCAUUUCGGAUGAAUGACAAUCCCAGACCCUGGGAGGAGACAUGAGUUGCCUUGAUUCUUUCCUAAGUUGGAGAAGUCAAAGCUGUCUCAAAAACAAUUUCACAGUUCAUCCUGCCCUCUCCCAAAAUCUGUUCAACUUUCAGCCCUGAUUGCUGCAUGAGUACCUGAAGUGGUUUGUCUACUUGUGAAGGAGUAGUCUGUGGAUUACAAUCAGGAUGCCCACACAUGGCAGUGAGCCUCUUUGUGAAAUUUCUCCCAUCAAGGGAAACUUGGGGAUUUACAAAAUUUCAUAGCUUAAUAUUACGUGUUUUCUGUUUCACAUUUCCUCAAGAAGAACUGCAAAGGAAAAUCAGGUAACUCAGUUAUUUGUAUAUUCUAGGUUUAUGGUAUUGUGUGUUGCCUUACCUAAUGCAUAUGCUGUUAAAUAUGUAUGUAAAUCCUUCCCAUUCUGUUAUUAUUUGGUAACCUUGAUCUUGAUUUUACAUUGAAUUUUACUGAACGAUUGUAGCUCUUCAUUCUGAACAAUCUUUCU